GACGAACGCUGGCGGCGUGCUUAACACAUGCAAGUCGAGCGGUAAGGCCCUUUCGGGGGUACACGAGCGGCGAACGGGUGAGUAACACGUGGGUGACCUGCCCUCAGCUCUGGGAUAAGCCUGGGAAACCGGGUCUAAUACUGGAUAUGACUCCAUGACGCAUGUUGUGGGGUGGAAAGCCUUGUGCGGCUGAGGAUGGGCCCGCGGCCUACCAGCUUGUUGGUGGGGUGAUGGCCUACCAAGGCGACGACGGGUAGCCGGCCUGAGAGGGCGACCGGCCACACUGGGACUGAGACACGGCCCAGACUCCUACGGGAGGCAGCAGUGGGGAAUCUUGCGCAAUGGGCGAAAGCCUGACGCAGCGACGCCGCGUGAGGGAUGACGGCCU
rnacentral:rRNA from 1 species